rnacentral:rRNA from 1 species
CGCGUCUGAUUAGCUAGUUGGCGGGGUAACGGCCCACCAAGGCGACGAUCAGUAGCCGGACUGAGAGGUUGAACGGCCACAUUGGGACUGAGACACGGCCCAGACUCCUACAGGAGGCAGCAGUGGGGAAUAUUGCGCAAUGGGGGAAACCCUGACGCAGCAACGCCGCGUGAUUGAAGAAGGCCUUCGGGUUGUAAAGAUCUUUAAUUCGGGACGAAAAAAAUGACGGUACCGAAAGAAUAAGCUCCGGCUAACUACGUGCCAGCAGCCGCGGUAAUACGUAGGGAGCAAGCGUUAUCCGGAUUUACUGGGUGUAAAGGGAGCGUAGACGGCAUGGCAAGUCUGGUGUGAAAGGCAGGGGCUCAACCCCUGGACUGCAUUGGAAACUGUCAGGCUGGAGUGCAGGAGAGGUAAGUGGAAUUCCUAGUGUAGCGGUGAAAUGCGUAGAUAUUAGGAGGAACACCAGUGGCGAAGGCGACUUACUGGACUGUAACUGACGUUGAGGCUCGAAAGCGUGGGGAGCAAACAGGAUUAGAUACCCUGGUAGUCUACGCCGUAAACGAUGAAUACUAGGUGUCAGGGAGCAAAGCUCUUUGGUGCCGCAGCUAACGCAAUAAGUAUUCCACCUGGGGAGUACGUUCGCAAGAAUGAA